rnacentral:rRNA from 1 species
UUGGAGGGCAAGUCUGGUGCCAGCAGCCGCGGUAAUUCCAGCUCCAAUAGCGUAUAUUAAAGUUGUUGCAGUUAAAAAGCUCGUAGUUGAAUUUCGGGAUCAAUUUGUUGGUCGUGCCUCGGUACGUACUGGCAUUAUUGGUUUCUACCUUCUGAAGAACCUUGAUGUCAUUAAUUUGGUGUCUUGGGGAAUCAGGACUGUUACUUUGAAAAAAUUAGAGUGUUUAAAGCAGGCAUACGCUUGAAUACAUUAGCAUGGAAUAAUGAAAUAGGACGUUUGAUUCUAUUUUGUUGGUUUCUAGGAUCGACGUAAUGAUUAAUAGGGAUAGUUGGGGGCAUUAGUAUUCAAUUGUCAGAGGUGAAAUUCUUGGAUUUAUUGAAGACUAACUACUGCGAAAAGCAUUUGCCAAGGAUGUUUUCAUUAAUCAAGAACGAAAGUUAGGGGAUCGAAGACGAUCAGAUACCGUCGUAGUCUUAACCAUAAACUAUGCCGACUAGGGAUCGGGAUGAUGUUAUUUUAAUGACUCAUUCGGCG